AUUGAACGCUGGCGGCAGGCCUAACACAUGCAAGUCGAACGAGUGGCGGACGGGUGAGUAAUGUCUGGGAAACUGCCUGAGGGAGGGGGAUAACUACUGGAAACGGUAGCUAAUACCGCAUACCAUCGGAUGUGCCCAGAUGGGUGUAGCGAGUAGGGGGGGUAAAGGCUUACCUAGGCGACGAGCCCUAGCUGGGCUGAGAGGAUGACCAGCCACACUGGAACUGAGACAAGGUCCAGACUCCUACGGGAGGCAGCAGUGGGGAAUAUUGCACAAUGGGCGCAAGCCUGAUGCAGCCAUGCCGCGUGUAUGAAGAAGGCCUUCGGGUUGUAAAGUACUUUCAGCGGGGAGGCGUUACCCGCAGAAGAAGCACCGGCUAACUCCGUGCCAGCCGCCGCGGUAAUUC
rnacentral:rRNA from 1 species